GCUGGCUGGCUCAGUCAGUAAAGCAUCUGAGUUUUGAUCUCAGGGUCAUGGGUUCAAGUCCCAUGCUGGGCA
rnacentral:tRNA from 1 species